UACGCAGGGGGCUAGCGUUGCUCGGAAUUACUGGGCGUAAAGCGCACGUCGGCGGCUUUCUAAGUCGGGGGUGAAAUCCUGGAGCUCAACUCCAGAACUGCCUUCGAUACUGGAAAGCUCGAGUCCGGGAGAGGUGAGUGGAACUGCGAGUGUAGAGGUGAAAUUCGUAGAUAUUCGCAAGAACACCAGUGGCGAAGGCGGCUCACUGGCCCGGUACUGACGCUGAGGUGCGAAAGCGUGGGGAGCAAACAGG
rnacentral:rRNA from 1 species